UACGUAGGGCGCGAGCGUUGCCCGGAAUUAUUGGGCGUAAAGAGCUCGUAGGCGGCCUGUUGCGUCCGCUGUGAAAUCCCAGGGCUCAACCCUGGGCGUGCAGUGGAUACGGGCAGGCUGGAGGCAGGCAGGGGAGAACGGAAUUCCCGGUGUAGCGGUGAAAAUGCGCAGAUAUCGGGAGGAACACCGGUGGCGAAGGCGGCUCACUGGACCGACACUGACGCUGAGGCGCGAAAAGCGUGGGGGAGCAAACAGG
rnacentral:rRNA from 1 species